rnacentral:rRNA from 1 species
AUGGCCGAGAAGCCGGCGGGCCCGGCCUCCAGGUCCAGGAUCCGGGGCGGGCUCGCCCCCUCCGCGCCCUCCUCCAGGAGGGUGGUCUCGAUGGCCUACACGGCGGCUCCGCAUCAGGCCAAGAAGGUUCCUGAGCCAAAGGUUGUGAAGCCAACAAGAACCACGCCGGCCAAGAGGCGGCAGCAGCUGGAUCAGGCGCAGAAGCAGAGGGAAGAGGUCGCUGCGUUGCAGGAGCAGCUUGGUGGCCUGCAGGGGAAACUGCUUGAGAAAGAUGAAGCUCUGAGGUCCGCAGAGAACUUGAUUGGCCGGAUCAGUGUUGCAAACGAAGAGGUGGAUGAAUUGAGAAGCCAGCUUAAUGAUAAGGAAUCGCUGGUCGAGUCUACUGGCUCCGAGCUGCAUGGCGCAAAGAUUAUGUUGGCAGAGAAGCAAGCAGCAUUGGAGAAGCUAGAAUGGGAGGCAAAGAUGUCAAGUACAAAAGUUGAAGAACUUGAAGUGGAUGUAGCCUCUAUGGAUGUUGAAAUCUCUGCUUUGAUGAAGGUAUUCAGGAAAAUAGCAGAGAACAACCGAGUCUCUCAUCCCACAGAGAGACCUGACGAUUCAUUGUUGGAAUGUGAACCGGUUCAGCUUGAUGAUACGGUAGGUGAUAUUGACACGGAGAAGAUGGAGCAGGAAAUGUCAGCCUAUGUCACGGCUCUAGCAGCCGCGAAAGACAAUCCUACGGAGGAAUUCCUGAAGGCAGUAACUGAGGUCUCGUGA